GACGAACGCUGGCGGCGUGCCUAAUACAUGCAAGUUGAGCGCUGAAGGUUGGUACUUGUACCAACUGGAUGAGCAGCGAACGGGUGAGUAACGCGUGGGGAAUCUGCCUUUGAGCGGGGGACAACAUUUGGAAACGAAUGCUAAUACCGCAUAAAAACUUUAAACACAAGUUUUAAGUUUGAAAGAUGCAAUUGCAUCACUCAAAGAUGAUCCCGCGUUGUAUUAGCUAGUUGGUGAGGUAAAGGCUCACCAAGGCGAUGAUACAUAGCCGACCUGAGAGGGUGAUCGGCCACAUUGGGACGGAGACACGGCCCAAACUCCUACGGGAGGCAGCAGUAGGGAAUCUUCGGCAAUAGACGAAAGUCUGACCGAGCAACGCCGCGUGAGGGAAGAAGGUUUUCGGAUCGUAAAACUCUGUUGGUAGAGAAGAACGUUGGUGAGAGUGGAAAGCUCAUCAAGUGACGGUAACUACCCAGAAAGGGACGGCUAACUACGUG
rnacentral:rRNA from 1 species